rnacentral:rRNA from 1 species
UACGUAGGGGCCUAGCGUUGUCCGGAAUUAUUGGGCGUAAAGAGCUCGUAGGCGGUUCGGCAAGUCGGAUGUGAAAUCUCCACGCUUAACGUGGAGGGGCCAUUCGAAACUGCUGUGACUCGAGUCCGGUAGGGGAGUGUGGAAUUCCCGGUGUAGCGGUGAAAUGCGCAGAUAUCAGGAGGAACACCGGUGGCGAAGGCGGGUCUCUGGGCCGAGAUUGACGCUGAGGAGCGAAAGCGUGGGGAGCGAACAGG